rnacentral:rRNA from 1 species
UGCAAUUGCGGGCGUGCUAUACAUGCAAGUCGAGCGGACAGGAUGGGAGCUUGCUCCCUGAAGUCAGCGGCGGACGGGUGAGUAACACGUGGGCAACCUGCCUGUAAGACUGGGAUAACUCCGGGAAACCGGGGCUAAUACCGGAUAACUCUUUUCCUCACAUGAGGAAAAGCUGAAAGAUGGUUUCGGCUAUCACUUACAGAUGGGCCCGCGGCGCAUUAGCUAGUUGGUGAGGUAACGGCUCACCAAGGCCACGAUGCGUAGCCGACCUGAGAGGGUGAUCGGCCACACUGGGACUGAGACACGGCCCAGACUCCUACGGGAGGCAGCAGUAGGGAAUCUUCCGCAAUGGACGAAAGUCUGACGGAGCAACGCCGCGUGAGUGAUGAAGGUUUUCGGAUCGUAAAACUCUGUUGUCAGGGAAGAACAAGUACCGGAGUAACUGCCGGUACCUUGACGGUACCUGACCAGAAAGCCACGGCUAACUACGUGCCAGCAGCCGCGGUAAU